UAGAGUGUUCAAAGCAGGCCGCCCGUCGCCGCUGAAUACCGCAGCUAGGAAUAAUGGAAUAGGACUCCGGUUCUCUUUUGUUGGUUUCUGGAACCCGGGGCCAUGAUUGAGAGGGACGGCCGGGGGCAUUCGUAUUGCGCCGCUAGAGGUGAAAUUCUUGGACCGGCGCAAGACGGACGAGAGCGAAAGCAUUUGCCAAGAAUGUUUUCAUUAAUCAAGAACGAAAGUCGGAGGUUCGAAGACAAUCAGAUACCGUCGUAGUUCCGACCGUAAACGAUGCCGACCCGCGAUCCGGCGGCGAAGAUCGGCAGAGCG